rnacentral:rRNA from 1 species
AACGAACGCUGGCGGCGCGUCUUAAACAUGCAAGUCGAGCGGCAGGACGGGGCUUGCCCCUUCUGAGAGUGGCGGACUGGUGAGUAACACGUGGGUGACAUACCUUUUAGUUGGGGAUAGCUAUUAGAAAUAGUAGGUAAUACCGAAUGUGACCGUACCUGUUAGAGGGGUACGAGGAAAGGAGCUAAGGCUUCGCUAAAAGGAUGGCUCGCGGCCCAUUAUGCUCGUUGGUGAGGUAACGGCCCACCAAGGCGAUGAUGGGUAUCCGGCCUGAGAGGGUGAACGGACACAUUGGGACUGAGAUACGGCCCAGACUUCUACGGGAGGCAGCAGUUAAGAAUAUUCCGCAAUGGACGAAAGUCUGACGGAGCGACGCCGCGUGGAUGAAGAAUGCCGAAAGGUUGUAAAAUCCUUUUAAGCCUGAUGAAUAAGCACAGUAGGGAAUGAUUGUGCGGUGACCGUAGGGCUUGAAUAAGCACCGGCUAAUUACGUG